rfam:Gossypium raimondii Chr08_contig_728, whole genome shotgun sequence.
AAAGCAAAUUGGUCUUUUCUAUUAAAAUUUCAUCCGUAACACUGUUUCGAUAAGGGCCGCGAGAGCAGUACCAAAUUGAGGCAAACUCUGAAUACUAGAUAUGACCUCAAAAUAAUAAGGGUCGAGGUUCGCUGGUGAGACGAUGGGAGAUAAGCUUCAUCGUCGAAAGAAAAAUAGCCUGGAUCACCAGCUAAGGUGCCUAAAUGACCGUUCAAUGAUAAAUAAGGUAUGGGUGCAGAGAUAGCCAGGAGGUUUGCCUAGAAGCAGCCACCCUUGAAAGAGUGCGUAAUAGCUCAUUGAUCAAGUGCUCUUGCGCCGAAGAUGAACUGGUACUUGAACAUUGGCUCAUGGCAUUUUCUCUACCCCUUCUUACCCUGAAAAAGCAGGG